rnacentral:tRNA from 1 species
GCUUUUAAAGGAUAACAGUCUUCCAUCGGCUUUAGGAGCCGAGCAUCUUGGUGCAACGUCCAAGUGAAAGCA